rnacentral:lncRNA from 1 species
AGAAAAUUCAGGGAGUAGGAGCACAUUAUGCACAAUGAAAUCAGGAGAGAAAUGAAUUGUUCCAGAGUGAUUAGCAACAAGACAUUGUCCAUUUGGUAAUCUAACAUUGAUAGGAAUAAUUUUCUUAUGUGAAUGAAACCAUUUGACAGAGCUACAUAUGUGAUCAGUAGCUCCUGAAUCAAUGAUCCAAGAGCCAUUACUAUUACUAUGCAUGU